rnacentral:rRNA from 1 species
AGCAGCCGCGGUAAUUCCAGCUCCAAUAGCGUAUAUUAAAGUUGUUGCAGUUAAAAAGCUCGUAGUUGAAUUUCGGGAUCAAGAAAUCGGUCAUGCCUCGGUAUGUACUGGUUUUAUUGGUUCUCACCUUCUAAAGAACCAUAAUGUCAUUCAUUUGGUGUUAUGGGGAAUUAGGACUGUUACCUUGAAAAAAUUAGAGUGUUUAAAGCAAGCCUACGCUUGAAUACAUUAGCAUGGAAUAAUGAAAUAGGACAUCCGAUUCUAUUUUGUUGGUUUCUAGGAUCGAUGUAAUGAUUAAUAGGGAUAGUUGGGGGCAUUAGUAUUCAAUUGUCAGAGGUGAAAUUCUUGGAUUUAUUGAAGACUAACUACUGCGAAAGCAUUUGCCAAGGAUGUUUUCAUUAAUCAAGAACGAAAGUUAGGGGAUCGAAGACGAUCAGAUACCGUCGUAGUCUUAACCAUAAACUAUGCCGACUAGGGAUCGGAUGAUGCUAAUUUUUUAAUGACUCA